GGAGACGUGGCUGAGUGGCCGAAAGCAGCCGCCUGCUAAGCGGUUGAGGGGAUAACACUCCUCCGGAGGUUCGAAUCCUCCCGUCUCCGCCA
rnacentral:tRNA from 1 species